rnacentral:tRNA from 1 species
GUUUGUUUAGUAUAAGUAGUAUGUUUGAUUUCCAAUCAAAAGGUUUAAAUAGUUUAAAACAAAUA